rnacentral:rRNA from 1 species
GAUGAACGCUGGCGGCGUGCCUAAUACAUGCAAGUCGAGCGAACAGACGAGGAGCUUGCUCCUCUGACGUUAGCGGCGGACGGGUGAGUAACACGUGGAUAACCUACCUAUAAGACUGGGAUAACUUCGGGAAACCGGAGCUAAUACCGGAUAAUAUAUUGAACCGCAUGGUUCAAUAGUGAAAGACGGUUUUGCUGUCACUUAUAGAUGGAUCCGCGCCGCAUUAGCUAGUUGGUAAGGUAACGGCUUACCAAGGCAACGAUGCGUAGCCGACCUGAGAGGGUGAUCGGCCACACUGGAACUGAGACACGGUCCAGACUCCUACGGGAGGCAGCAGUAGGGAAUCUUCCGCAAUGGGCGAAAGCCUGACGGAGCAACGCCGCGUGAGUGAUGAAGGUCUUCGGAUCGUAAAACUCUGUUAUUAGGGAAAAACAAAUGUGUAAGUAACUAUGCACGUCUUGACGGUACCUAAGCAGAAAGCCACGGCUAACUACG